CAAACCGGCACAUAAGGCAUAGCGAAAAUCUUUAACUCUCCACUCAGCCAUAUCCCACCCAUCUAUCUUCUUCAGACUCUCACACAUAAAACCCAACAAGAUCUCCAAAACCCAUUCCCAAAAAAUAAAAUAUAGAUUACAGAAUCAGAACCAUGGAGAUUUCGUCUGUAACCCUCUCCUUCUCGAGGCCCCCACUUGCUCU
rnacentral:misc_RNA from 1 species